rnacentral:rRNA from 1 species
GCGGAGGAAAAGAAACCAACAGGGAUUGCCUUAGUAGCGGCGAGUGAGCGGCAAAAGCUCAAAUUUGAAAUCUGGCUCUUUCAGAGUCCGAGUUGUAAUUUGAAGAAGGUAUCUUUGGGUCUGGCUCUUGUCUAUGUUUCUUGGAACAGAACGUCACAGAGGGUGAGAAUCCCGUGCGAUGAGAUGAUCCAGGCCUAUGUAAAGUUCCUUCGAAGAGUCGAGUUGUUUGGGAAUGCAGCUCUAAGUGGGUGGUAAAUUCCAUCUAAAGCUAAAUAUUGGCGAGAGACCGAUAGCGAACAAGUACAGUGAUGGAAAGAUGAAAAGAACUUUGAAAAGAGAGUGAAAAAGUACGUGAAAUUGUUGAAAGGGAAGGGCUUGAGAUCAGACUUGGUAUUUUGUAUGUUACUUCUUCGGGGGUGGCCUCUACAGUUUAUCGGGCCAGCAUCAGUUUGGGCGGUAGGAGAAUUGCGUUGGAAUGUGGCACGGCUUCGGUUGUGUGUUAUAGCCUUCGUCGAUACUGCCAGCCUAGACUGAGGACUGCGGUUUAUACCUAGGAUGUUGGCAUAAUGAUCUUAAGUCGCCCGUCU